rnacentral:pre_miRNA from 1 species
UUUAUACUCCCUCCGUCCGAAAAUACUUGUCAUCAAAAUGGACAAAAAUGAAUGUAUCUAAUACUAAUAUACAUCUAGAUACAUCUUCUUUUAUUUAUUUUGAUGACAAGUAUUUUCAGACAGAGGGAGUACAAG